rnacentral:rRNA from 1 species
GACGAACGCUGGCGGCGUGCUUAACACAUGCAAGUCGAACGGAAAGGCCCUGCUUUUGUGGGGUGCUCGAGUGGCGAACGGGUGAGUAACACGUGAGUAACCUGCCCUUGACUUUGGGAUAACUUCAGGGAACUGGGGCUAAUACCGGAUAGGAGCUCCUGCUGCAUGGUGGGGGUUGGAAAGUUUUGGCGGUUGGGGAUGGACUCGCGGCUUAUCAGCUUGUUGGUGGGGUAGUGGCUUACCAAGGCUUUGACGGGUAGCCGGCCUGAGAGGGUGACCGGCCACAUUGGGACUGAGAUACGGCCCAGACUCCUACGGGAGGCAGCAGUGGGGAAUAUUGCACAAUGGGCGGAAGCCUGAUGCAGCAACGCCGCGUGCGGGAUGACGGCCUUCGGGUUGUAAACCGCUUUCGCCUGUGACGAAGCGUGAGUGACGGUAAUGGGUAAAGAAGCACCGGCUAACUACGUG